CGGACGGGUGAGUAACGCGUGAGAAUCUGCCCUCAGGAGGGGGAUAACGGCUGGAAACGGCCGCUAAUACCCCAUAUGCCGCGAGGUGAAAUGAAAUUCGCCUGAGGAUGAGCUCGCGUCUGAUUAGCUAGUUGGUGGGGUAAAGGCCUACCAAGGCAUCGAUCAGUAGCUGGUCUGAGAGGAUGAUCAGCCACACUGGGACUGAGACACGGCCCAGACUCCUACGGGAGGCAGCAGUGGGGAAUUUUCCGCAAUGGGCGAAAGCCUGACGGAGCAACGCCGCGUGAGGGAUGAAGGCCUCUGGGCUGUAAACCUCUUUUAUCAAGGAAGAAGAUCUGACGGUACUUGAUGAAUAAGCCACGGCUAAUUCCGUGCCAGCAGCCGCGGUAAUACGGGAGUGGCAAGCGUUAUCCGGAAUUAUUGGGCGUAAAGCGUCCGCAGGCGGUCUUGUAAGUCUGUCGUCAAAGCGUGGAGCUUAACUCCAUUUCUGCGAUGGAAACUGCAGGACUAGAGUGUGGUAGGGGCAGAGGGAAUUCCCGGUUUAGCGGUGAAAUGCGUAGAUAUCGGGAAGAACACCAGUGGCGAAGGCGCUCUGCUGGGCCAUAACUGACGCUCAUGGACGAAAGCCAGGGGAGCGAAAGGGAUUAGAUACCCCUGUAGUCCUGGCCGUAAACGAUGAACACUAGGUGUCGGGGGAAUCGACCCCCUCGGUGUCGUAGCCAACGCGUUAAGUGUUCCGCCUGGGGAGUACGCACGCAAGUGUGAAACUCAAAGGAAUUGACGGGGGCCCGCACAAGCGGUGGAGUAUGUGGUUUAAUUCGAUGCAACGCGAAGAACCUUACCAGGGUUUGACAUCCUGCGAAUCCCUUGGAAACGAGGGAGUGCCUUCGGGAGCGCAGAGACAGGUGGUGCAUGGCUGUCGUCAGCUCGUGUCGUGAGAUGUUGGGUUAAGUCCCGCAACGAGCGCAACCCACGUCGUUAGUUGCCAGCAUUCAGUUGGGCACUCUAGCGAGACCGCCGGUGAUAAACCGGAGGAAGGUGUGGAUGACGUCAAGUCAUCAUGCCCCUUACAUCCUGGGCUACACACGUACUACAAUGCUACGGA
rnacentral:rRNA from 1 species